rnacentral:rRNA from 1 species
UACGGGGGGGGCAAGCGUUGUUCGGAAUUACUGGGCGUAAAGGGCUCGUAGGUGGCCAACUAAGUCAGACGUGAAAUCCCUCGGCUUAACCGGGGAACUGCGUCUGAUACUGGAUGGCUUGAGUUUGGGAGAGGGACGCGGAGUUCCAGGUGUAGCGGUGAAAUGCGUAGAUAUCUGGAGGAACACCGGUGGCGAAGGCGGCGUCCUGGACCAACACUGACACUGAUGAGCGAAAGCCAGGGGAGCAAACGGG